UAAGGAGCCUCAUUCGGAGGUGUAGAGAUAAGUUUGAAAAAGUGUAAGUUUUUAAGUUUCAUCUCUCUAGUUUCCUCUCUCUUGUAAAACUCUCUUGUGAGCAAUAAUAAAAAUCUUUUGGAUUGAAGAUCAGUCUUCAAGGAUAAUGGGACCAUUCUGAAAUUCUUCCUCUAAUAGAGGAAGAGAAAGAGGACGAGGAAGAACAAUGCAUACGGGAAACAAUAAUAUUCUGGCUCAAUUAGGAAAUCAAAGGAUAAUAGCCGCAAAUAUUACAGGAACAUCUACUGGAAUAUUAGGAAUUGAUGCCAAUCAUCCAAUGUACAGAGAAUUUAUUAAUUUUAUACAAUACAAACAACAAACUCAA